rnacentral:rRNA from 1 species
UACGGAAGGCAGCAGUGGGGAAUAUUGCACAAUGGGCGCAAGCCUGAUGCAGCCGUGCCGCGUGUAUGAAGAAGGCCUUCGGGUUGUAAAGUACUUUCAGUCGUGAGGAAGGUGUUAAGGUUAAUAACCUUAGCAAUUGACGUUAGCGACAGAAGAAGCACCGGCUAACUCCGUGCCAGCAGCCGCGGUAAUACGGAGGGUGCGAGCGUUAAUCGGAAUUACUGGGCGUAAAGGGCACGCAGGCGGUUAAUUAAGUUGGAUGUGAAAUCCCCGGGCUUAACCUGGGAAUGGCAUUCAAGACUGGUUAGCUAGAGUCUUGUAGAGGGGGUAGAAUUCCAUGUGUAGCGGUGAAAUGCGUAGAGAUGUGGAGGAAUACCGGUGGCGAAGGCGGCCCCUGGACAAAGGCUGACGCUCAUGUGCGAAAGCGUGGGGAGCAAACAGGGAUUAGAUACC